rnacentral:rRNA from 1 species
AGAAAGCCACGGCUAACUACGUGCCAGCAGCCGCGGUAAUAGGUAGGUGGCAAGCGUUGUCCGGAAUUAUUGGGCGUAAAGCGCGCGCAGGCGGUUUNUUAAGUCUGAUGUGAAAGCCCCCGGCUCAACCGGGGAGGGUCAUUGGAAACUGGGGAACUUGAGUGCAGAAGAGGAGAGUGGAAUUCCACGUGUAGCGGUGAAAUGCGUAGAGAUGUGGAGGAACACCAGUGGCGAAGGCGACUCUCUGGUCUGUAACUGACGCUGAGGCGCGAAAGCGUGGGGAGCGAACAGGAUUAGAUACCCUGGUAGUCCACGCCGUAAACGAUGAGUGCUAAGUGUUAGAGGGUUUCCGCCCUUUAGUGCUGCAGCAAACGCAUUAAGCACUCCGCCUGGGGAGUACGGUCGCAAGACUGAAACUCAAAGGAAUUGACGGGGGCCCGCACAAGCGGUGGAGCAUGUGGUUUAAUUCGAAGCAACGCGAAGAACCUUACCAGGUCUUGACAUCCUCUGACAACCCUAGAGAUAGGGCUUCCCCUUCGGGGGCAGAGUGACAGGUGGUGCA